rnacentral:rRNA from 1 species
UUUAGACGCUGGCGGCAGGCCUAACACAUGCAAGUCGAGCGGUGAAGGGAGCUUGCUCCUGGAUUCAGCGGCGGACGGGUGAGUAAUGCCUAGGAAUCUGCCUGGUAGUGGGGGAUAACGUCCGGAAACGGGCGCUAAUACCGCAUACGUCCUGAGGGAGAAAGUGGGGGAUCUUCGGACCUCACGCUAUCAGAUGAGCCUAGGUCGGAUUAGCUAGUUGGUGGGGUAAAGGCCUACCAAGGCGACGAUCCGUAACUGGUCUGAGAGGAUGAUCAGUCACACUGGAACUGAGACACGGUCCAGACUCCUACGGGAGGCAGCAGUGGGGAAUAUUGGACAAUGGGCGAAAGCCUGAUCCAGCCAUGCCGCGUGUGUGAAGAAGGUCUUCGGAUUGUAAAGCACUUUAAGUUGGGAGGAAGGGCAGUAAGUUAAUACCUUGCUGUUUUGACGUUACCAACAGAAUAAGCACCGGCUAACUUCGUGCCAGCAGCCCGCGGUAAUACGAAGGGUGCAAGCGUUAAUCGGAAUUACUGGGCGUAAAGCGCGCGUAGGUGGUUCAGCAAGUUGGAUGUGAAAUCCCCGGGCUCAACCUGGGAACUGCAUCCAAAACUACUGAGCUAGAGUACGGUAGAGGGUGGUGGAAUUUCCUGUGUAGCGGUGAAAUGCGUAGAUAUAGGAAGGAACACCAGUGGCGAAGGCGACCACCUGGACUGAUACUGACACUGAGGUGCGAAAGCGUGGGGAGCAAAC